rnacentral:rRNA from 1 species
UACGUAGGGUGCGAGCGUUGUCCGGAAUUAUUGGGCGUAAAGAGCUCGUAGGCGGUUUGUUGCGUCUAUCGUGAAAACCUGCAGCUUAACUGUGGGCUUGCAGCCGAUACGGGCGGGCUGGAGUUCGGUAGGGGAGACUGGAAUUCCUGGUGUAGCGGUGAAAUGCGCAGAUAUCAGGAGGAACACCGGUGGCGAAGGCGGGUCUCUGGGCCGUAACUGACGCUGAGGAGCGAAAGCGUGGGGAGCAAACAGG